AGUAAGUAAAUUCUGCACUUUUUCGUCUGGACCUGUCUUCAGUAAUCGAGUCAUAGCUGACAACCCUACAUCCGUUUUGAAUAGUCCUUACAUGUCUGGAAAGCCGACGAAAUACCCGUCGUCUCGGUGCCAACCACGUAUAAUUUGGAUCAAUAUUGAGGGUUGGAGACGCCUUUGAAGUUGGAGCUCUGAUGCAGAAUUAUGCAGAAAAUUCUGAUUAUGGGUUUAUAGCAUUUCAGUUGCAAAUUAUGCGUUUCGGCGAGCUCUGAAAGUGUCGCAGGUAUUGUUCAAGCUUCUUUUCAGGUGGGUUCCCUUAGAGCCUUAAACUCUAGUUAGUUUAGCUCCAUUAGUUUCCCCAAAUAAAAUAAAUGCAUGAUAACAAUGGUUCAGUUAGAAUAUUAGUUCCCAAAUUUAUCAAUUGCAUGACAAUACUAGGAUUUAAGGAAUUUAUUGUGUGAGAAUGGUUAAAUCCCCAAAAUAUUCUCCGUUCUGAAUAUAUGAACUAAUUAUAGUGUCUGAAAUUAGGAAGAUAUGGAUUGUAGGUGAUUUAUUG
rnacentral:lncRNA from 1 species